CCAGCACCCCGAGUGGUCGGGACGAUUAUUGGGCCUAAAGCAUCCGUAGCCGGUACUGCAAGUCUUCCGUUAAAUCCACCUGCUCAACAGUUGGGCUGCGGGGGAUACUACAGCGCUAGGAGGCGGGAGAGGCAAGCGGUACUUAAUGGGUAGGGGUAAAAUCCACUGAUCCAUUGAAGACCACCAGUGGCGAAGGCGGCUUGCCAGAACGCGCUCGACGGUGAGGGAUGAAAGCUGGGGGAGCAAACCGGAUUAGAUACCCGGGUAGUCCCAGCUGUAAACGAUGCAGACUCGGUGAUGGGCUGGCCUUGUGCCAACCCAGUGCCGCAGGGAAGCCGUUAAGUCUGCCGCCUGGGGAUACGGUCGCAAGACUG
rnacentral:rRNA from 1 species